CGCACCUUGCACCCUUUGGUAUUCCGAAGGGUACAUCCGUUUGAGUGUCAUUGUAAUCUCACUUCAACAACUUUUUGUUGAAUGUGGACUUGGACGUUGUCGUGUGUAACGACUCGUCUCAAAUGCUUGAGUGUACCCGGCUAUGCAGCGUAUCAGUGUGAUAAACAUCUUCACUGUCAAGUCCUCUUUGGACACGCUUGUCUUGUGGGCUCUAUGCUUUCCAACCGUCCUCGGACAAUCUCUGACAAUUUGACCUCAAAUCGGAUGGGACUACCCGCUGAACUUAA
rnacentral:misc_RNA from 1 species